GGUUAAAAAGCUCGUAGUUGGAUCUCGGCAAGUAGAGGGCGGUAUGCUUCGUAGCAUUACUGCCCUAUUACUUGUAGUUUUGCCAGAGGUUCCUGGGUGCUCUUAAUCGAGUGUCUAGGGAUGCUGGCAGGUUUACUUUGAAAAAAUUAGAGUGCUCAAAGCAGGCUAUUACGCUUGAAUAUUCGUGCAUGGAAUAAUAGAGUAGGAAGUUGUUUCUAUUUUGUUGGUUUUCGGAAAUCGACUUAAUGAUUAAUAGGGACAGUCGGGGGCAUUUGUAUUCAAACGACAGAGGUGAAAUUCUUGGACCGUUUGAAGACAAACUACUGCGAAAGCAUUUGCCAAGAAUGUUUUCAUUAAUCAAGAACGAAAGUUAGAGGUUCGAAGGCGAUUAGAUACCGCCCUAGUUCUAACCAUAAACGAUGCCAGCUAGCGAUCUGAGGACGUUUUUUUUGUAGACUCCUCAGGAAGCUUCCGGGGAAACCAAAGCGUGUGGGUUCCGGGGGAAGUAUGGUUGCAAAGCUGAAACUUAAAGGAAUUGACGGAAAGGCACCACCAGGAGUGGAGCCUGCGGCUUAAUUUGACUCAACACGGGAAAUCUCACC
rnacentral:rRNA from 1 species